ACUGCUGUUAGGAAUUGUGCUGGUUUAGUAAAGUACUGACUGCAGGUUCUGCUCCAAGGUCUUUGGCUUCACUAGCGUUCCUAGAAAGCCGUAGGAAAACACAUGUUUUCACUCUGAAACUAAAUUCUCCUUAAAAACAAAUUACUUUUAUAAUAUAAUUAUAGGGAAGCAGACAGCCAGCAUAACUUCAAUCUUCACCUCUCUUUCCUCUCUGAAUCCAGUCCCACUGUCUGGUCCCCAGCUCUGUAGCAGACCACCCACAGGAACCUCCCCUCCCUGCUGCCCCCAUCUUUAGUCGCACAUACAUAAAUCAAACUUCCUUCCCCUCACUCAUUGAUUUAUCCCAGCUUCCCUGGGAACCUGCAGACAAGGCUGCCAGGGCAGCAGGGAGGAGAGCUUAGGAUCGUCACUCUUCCUUCUCGUCUCCAUAUGCAGUUUUCCAGUUUCAUCCCCAGAUCUGUAGCAGACUAUUGUGGCCUCUCCUACUCACUCUUGAAUGCUGUUCUCAGGGGACAAGCAGAUUUUGAUGCUAUAUACUGUUUUCUUCCCAUUUGUGGACUUCUAGCCCAUCCUCAUUCCUAAGUGCCAACUUUUAAUACUUAAACAUUUUGCUCUCCACAGACUGACUGAAAAGCCCCCAAAGCAGACAACACCUACAGAACUCAUUGAACAUGGAGAAGUUGAGCUGGUACCCACAUAGAGACUUCACCCCUACAUUCUAAUGUCUUUGGUACAAGAAGGUAGUCUGCACACUCCAAAGGGAGAAACAUAAACACCAAUCAACCACAAACCCUUUGAUCUACAAUGGUGUGAAGCCUGCAGGAGAAGCUAGUGCAGUGGUGGCACAAAGCUUGUGGGAGUGACCAACCAAUAUCUGAUGUAACUUUAGGCCCACUCCACAAGAUGGAACCCUUACCUAAUACUACUUGGGUGAGUAAGAACUUGAGACUAGACAGCCAGCUUGGAUCUAGGGUAAACCAAAUAGAACUGAUCUGCUAAAAGAGCACAGUAAUAAAAUGGCUCCUAAGGACAUUGAGCUACACCCAUAGAUCAGUACCUUUCUCAGCCAUGAUCAGAGAGGCUUUUUCCUGUACAGAUGGGAACAGAUAUAGAAACUCAGCCAGACAUUAUACAGAGAAUAAGAGACCUUGGAACACUCCUUCCUGAAUUUAGGACAUCUCCAUCAAAUUGCUCCCCGCAGGAACCCUCAGGUAGAAGAGUUAAAAGGAUGUAAAAACCAGAGUGGAUGAAGACACCAAGAAAUCAAGACUCUAAAGCAUGAGGACUGAUGCACAUAUGAACUCACAAGAGAUUGGCAGCAGGCACGGGGCCUGUGUGAGUCUGCACUAGAGCUGGAAGAUGAAGUGGACACAAGCCCCACCCAGAAGCUCUCUCAAUCUCUUAGAAGCCUAUUUGUUUUCUAAAGAAAGGCAGAAAGGUGGUGGAUCCAGUCAGGGAGAUGGAGAAGGGCCGUGAGGAACAGAGGGAGAAGCUGUAAAAGCCAACUUUAAUAAAAGGAAAAAAAUAAAUGGAAUUUUAACAGGUAUAAUCAUAUAGCAUGUUUGAAUACUGUCCUUUUAUCACCUUGUCAAUAUUUUUUAUUAUAAACCCCACUAAGGUGCACUUUCUUCUCAUUCAGGUGGGAUAUGAUGGUUAAUCCACAGAAUUUAAAUAAAACUCAUAUGAAUAAGUUUAGGAAAUCCUUGGAAAGUAAGUUAAAACUAAAGUUUUGUUAGAAUUGAAAAUGAAUAUAGUGGAUUUUAUUAAACACCUUAAUUUUUUCACUCAGCUCUUUGAUAUGAUAUGCUACAGUUUUAUUUAUAGGCUCACAAUUUGCUGGAGCCAUUUCCACCUCUGUUCUCUUUCUGAAAACAGCAUGAAGCAAAUAGGAGCUUCUUUCAACCCAAAUCUGGGGGAUGUCAAGACAAAUGCAUUGUCAGGGCCGCUGCAUGGGGCAGAACCACAGCCACUGACGAUCAUGUGGUGUAGAUCAGAAGAAGAUGCUGUGGUUAUAAGCUGCUGAGAGUUUGAAUGGCUUCUGCAGCAGAACCUGAAGGGCAUUAAAAUGUGCCCUUACACCAGAGUACUGAAUCAUUAAUGUUAGCAUUCGUUUAUGACUAUGGUAAGGAACGCAGCCUUAGGAAUAGGUUUUCUUCUUAUUUAGAAGGACAUGAGGAUUGUAAGAUUUUAAAAUAUGGGCUACAUUAUUUGAGAGACUCUUAAAAAUCUGAACCUGAGAUUUUAGAGACCUAAAUGAUUGCAGAAUAGGGACAAGAUAUGCAUUUAAAGAUGCUCAUAGCAGAGAAUGCAAGUAGCAGUGCUUCCCAGCAUGAUCCCUGAGUUGAAAGUUUUAAGUAAGCUUUACCUUUUCUGAAACACUCCAAAGGAUGAGCUUGGAAUGAAGGUUUGAUUUUUUUAUAUUUAUGUAUUUGAUUUAUGUUUGUUUGAUUGACUAGGGUGGACACACUCAUAUCCAGUAGAUGCACAUGUGGAGAUCAGAGGACACCUGUCAGGGGUCGAUUUUCUCCUUCCACCAUGCGGAUUCCAGGGGCCAACUAGGGUCAUAAAACCUCUUUAACUUCAGAUCCAUCUUACCUGGAUCCCAAUUUGAUCUUGACUUUCUGAGAGUGCUGAGACACUCAGGCCAUCUUAUUGAGGCUACUAGCCCAGUGACUGAGUAAGUGGUAGUCCUGAUUCCUAAAAAUCCCGAAGGAAACUGAAGAUCCAAGGGGAGAGAGGAGAGGGUGGAAGGAAACUGAAGAUCCAAGGGGAGAGAGGAGAGGGUGGAAGGAAACUGAAGGUCCAAGGGGAGAGAGGAGAGGGUGGAAGGAAACUGAAGGUCCAAGGGGAGAGAGGAGAGGAUGUUAGGGGUGCAGAGAGCUUAAUCAUUAGAAUCUUUGUAUUCUGUGGUGAGAUCCAAUGACCUUGGGCAUAACUCUAAAAAUCAAUUAACCAACAGGAUUUAGCAGUCCUCACUUGAUGACGUUGAUCAUAAGCAAUGACUCAUCUGGAAAUCCUAAUCAUCCAUUGCUUGCAAAAUUAUACCUAUGCAAUUUCAGAAAGGGCUUUCAAUUUUAAAUAAAAUAUCUACUUGUCAU
rnacentral:lncRNA from 1 species